GUUCCUAUCUUUCCCGAGCUCAUCCUCCCAAGGAAUAGAGCUGUCAUCCCGUUUGCAUGCCAUUCACAGUUCCGCAUCCAAAGCUCCCAACAACUCGAUCAAUUCCAUCAUUAUCCCGCAUCCUAAACCAUCAAAUCUUCUUUCAGCUUCCUCCCAGCUUUGCAUCCUUAUCCUAUGCUUCAGAACAGGGUACCAUCUUAUCACGGCUCAAGCCAGCAAAGUCCCAGCUCUUUCCGUCCGAGAUUCUCUCCACGUUAAAGCCUCGUUAGUCUCUUCCAGAUUCUUCCCAGUGGAGAAAGGUUCAUCCGCACUGCCAGCUGCUUCCCUCAGCAAAACAAGUUCAACGAAUUCUAGGAUCACGUCUUCAUCACCCACCGAACUCAGGAUUAUCCUCCCAGCGUUCCGGAUCAACUCCAUCCAACGCGUUCCAGCAUCCGAGGAUAAGCUUCCAAGGAUUAAGCCAAACGUGAUCAGCUCCCAACGUCCGGAUUGGAUCAUCUCAAGAGACUCACCCACGUCCACGGAACAGAGACCGUUCCUCUCCUUUAUCUUCUCACUCGGAAGAAUAUAUCUGAAGGUUGAUAACAGAGGCUGUGAAGGCUAUAAAAGGGAGUCGAUGAUGAAGGCUAGAGGCAUUCUCUUCCAUUCCUCCUCUUCCCCACCAGGGGAGGGGGCUGCUCCCUUUAUCCCUUCUUCCUCACCGAAGGGAGUCGG
rnacentral:lncRNA from 1 species